AUUGAACGCUGGCGGCAUGCCUAACACAUGCAAGUCGAACCAGUGGCGGACGGGUGAGUCCUGUCUGGGUAACUGCCCGAUGGAGGGGGAUAACUACUGGACACGGUAGCUACUCCCGCAUACCAUCGGAUGUGCCCAGAUGGGAUUAGCUAGUAGUGGGGGUAACGGCUCACCUGGGCGACGAUCCCUCGCUGGUCUGAGAGGAUGACCAGCCACACUGGAACGGAGACACGGUCCAGACUGCUACGGUAGGCAUCAGUGGGGAAGAGUGCACAAUGGGGUCAAGCGUGAGGAAGCUAUGCUGCGUGUAUGAAGAAGGCCUUUUGGUUGUAAAGUACUUUCAGCGAGGAGGCGUUACGCGCAGAAUAUGCACCGGCUAACGCCGUGGCAGAAGCCGCGGUAAUUC
rnacentral:rRNA from 1 species